rnacentral:rRNA from 1 species
UACAGAGGUCUCAAGCGUUUGUUCGGAUUCAUUGGGCGUAAAGGGUGUGUAGGUGGCGCCGUAAGUCGGGGUGUGAAAUUUCGGAGCUUAACUCCGAAACUGCAUUCGAUACUGCGGUGCUUUGAGGACUGGAGAGGAGACUGGAAUUCAUGGUGUAGCAGUGAAAUGCGUAGAGAUCAUGAGGAAGACCAGUGGCGAAGGCGGGUCUCUGGACAGUUCCUGACACUGAGACACGAAGGCCAGGGGAGCAAACGGG